AGAGUUUGAUCCUGGCUCAGGAUGAACGCUAGCGGCAGGCUUAAUACAUGCAAGUCGUGGGGCAGCGCAGGUAGCAAUACUGGGCGGCGACCGGCAAACGGGUGCGGAACACGUACGCAACCUUCCUUUAAGUGGGGAAUAGCCCAGGGAAACUUGGAUUAAUACCCCGUAACACUGCGAUGUGGCAUCACAUUGCAGUUAAAGCUACGGCGCUUAAAGAUGGGCGUGCGGCUGAUUAGGUAGUUGGCGGAGUAACAGCCCACCAAGCCAACGAUCAGUAACUGGUGUGAGAGCACGACCAGUCACACGGGCACUGAGACACGGGCCCGACUCCUACGGGAGGCAGCAGUAAGGAAUAUUGGUCAAUGGACGCAAGUCUGAACCAGCCAUGCCGCGUGGAGGAUGAAGGCCCUCUGGGUUGUAAACUUCUUUUAUUUGGGAAGAAACCUAUCCUUUCUAGGGUAGUUGACGGUACCAGAUGAAUAAGCACCGGCUAACUCCGUGCCAGCAGCCGCGGUAAUACGGAGGGUGCAAGCGUUAUCCGGAUUCACUGGGUUUAAAGGGUGCGUAGGUGGGCAGGUAAGUCAGUGGUGAAAUCUCUGAGCUUAACUCAGAAACUGCCGUUGAUACUAUCUGUCUUGAAUGUAGUGGAGGUGAGCGGAAUAUGUCAUGUAGCGGUGAAAUGCUUAGAUAUGACAUAGAACACCAAUUGCGAAGGCAGCUCGCUACACUAUUAUUGACACUGAGGCACGAAAGCGUGGGGAUCAAACAGGAUUAGAUACCCUGGUAGUCCACGCCCUAAACGAUGGAUACUCGACAUCAGCGAUACACAGUUGGUGUCUGAGCGAAAGCAUUAAGUAUCCCACCUGGGAAGUACGACCGCAAGGUUGAAACUUAAAGGAAUUGACGG
rnacentral:rRNA from 1 species